GGCCUGGUGGUGUAGCGAUAACACGUCCUCUCACAAUAACUCCUCCAAUGUUUACAAUCAUUUAAGAGGAGGUCCCUUGUUCGAAUCAAGGCCAGGCCA